rnacentral:tRNA from 1 species
GAGAGUAUAGCUCAGUGGUAGAGUGCCUGCUUAGUAUGCACAGGGUCCUGGGUUCAAUCCCCAGUACCUUCA